rnacentral:rRNA from 1 species
GACGAACGCUGGCGGCGUGCUUAACACAUGCAAGUCGAACGGUGACGAGGAGCUUGCUCCUCUGAUCAGUGGCGAACGGGUGAGUAACACGUGAGCAACCUGCCCCAGACUCUGGGAUAACAGUUGGAAACAGCUGCUAAUACCGGAUACGAGACGGAGAGGCAUCUCUACCGUCUGGAAAGUUUUUCGGUCUGGGAUGGACUCGCGGCCUAUCAGCUAGUUGGUGAGGUAAUGGCUCACCAAGGCGACGACGGGUAGCCGGCCUGAGAGGGCGACCGGCCACACUGGGACUGAGACACGGCCCAGACUCCUACGGGAGGCAGCAGUGGGGAAUAUUGCACAAUGGGCGAAAGCCUGAUGCAGCGACGCCGCGUGAGGGAUGACGGCCUCGGUGUAACUCUUCUAGCAGGAGAAGCGAAAGUGACGGUACCUGCAGAAGAAGACACCGGCUAACUACGUGCCAGCAGCCGCGGUAAU